GACGAACCGUGCGAACGUUGUUCGGAAUCACUGGGCUUAAAGGGCGCGUAGGCGGGCUCGCAAGUCCGGGGUAAAAGCCCCCAGCUCAACUGGGGAAGUGCCUUGGAUACUGCGGGCCUCGAGGGAGGUAGGGGCGUGCGGAACUUCCGGUGGAGCGGUGAAAUGCGUAGAUAUCGGAAGGAACACCGGUGGCGAAAGCGGCGCGCUGGACCUCUUCUGACGCUGAGGCGCGAAAGCCAGGGGAGCAAACGGG
rnacentral:rRNA from 1 species